rnacentral:tRNA from 1 species
GCCUGGGUGGCUCAGCGGUUGAGCAUCUGCCUUUGGCUCAGAACUGGAGCCCAUGAUCCUGAAGUCCUGGGAUCAAGUCCCACAUCGGGCU